rnacentral:rRNA from 1 species
AACGAACGCUGGCGGCGUGCCUAACACAUGCAAGUCGAGCGCGAAAGUUCCUUCGGGAAUGAGUAGAGCGGCGGACGGGUGAGUAAUACGUAGAUGACCUGCCCCGGAGAGGGGGAUAACUGUUGGAAACGACAGCUAAUACCCCAUAAGCUCACGGUUUUUAGAAAGCUGUGAGAAAGGUUCCGGCGCUCCGGGAGGGGUCUGCGGCCCAUCAGCUAGUUGGUAGGGUAACGGCUUACCAAGGCGAAGACGGGUAGGGGGCCUGAGAGGGUGGUCCUCCACACGGGAACUGAGACACGGUCCCGACUCCUACGGGAGGCAG